rnacentral:sRNA from 1 species
AAGAAAACUAAAUGAUUGAACCUAUGUAAACCCUAGUGAACAAUAGAAUAUCCAAAGAUAUAGCAGCGGCCGGCCUGAACAUCUCGACCAUCAAACCAACUAUCAAUAUCACAUAGUAAAAGAUAAAACCGAUAUUCUUAUUGAAAAUACCUAGAAAAUUACGACAACUAAUCUUCUAAAAUCCGAGACCUUGCCUGAUCAAACUCCUCAACCGUGGAAGUAGAUGAAAUGCUAUUCGAUAAACAUCACUGAAAUUGUUAGCCUCGUCAGAAACUAUGUUUUCCUCAGAAAAAUUAUAGUCGGAGGUUUUUUUUGCCCUCAACUGUUGUCGCUAACCAAACGAAAAAAAA